ensembl:lncRNA LOC102552874 uncharacterized LOC102552874
GUCAGCCCGACGCCGCGGGAGCCUAGGUAGUCAUCCAUCAGAAUAAUGACCAUUAAUGCGUCAUUCCGCCGGGCCGGACUGCCCUGGACGGCGCUCUAGGCAAGCCAUCCACAGCCUGAAGUGAGAUGCCAGCCAGAGACAGCCUGAGUCCGAGACACAAGGCAGAGAGAAUGAAGUACAAAUCAUAAUGGUCAUCACUCAGUGAACACACUCCCUUAAGCACCAUCCAGGAUGUUUAGCUGGUUUUUAAAGGAGAAAGAGACCGCUGAGAGAAAACACUGGAGUGGCAGCCCAGGCAGCCGUGCCUGCAGGAGGAUGCCUCCCAGCAGAACAGAGUCCUCACUUUCUGCACUUGAACUGUGUGGUGCUAGGAACGAACAGGCUGCUGUCAGUAAGAAAAUGAACCACCCAACUGGAAACAGGCACAAGAUAUCUUACUAGAAAAGGUCUCCAGAUGGUGGGCAAGCACAAGAAUGAAUGUGGUCUCUCUACUUAGUCCUGGUUGUCCUAGAGCUUGCUCUGAAGACCAGGCUGGCCUCAAAGUCACAGGGAUCUGCCUGCUUCCACCUCCCAAGAGCUGGCAUUAAAGGCACUUGCCCCACAACCGUUUUCUUAUGUUCCUGCAC